UGGAGAGGUCUUCGGCAGGCCCAGUCUUGUCCCAGUCUGCCUCUAUCCAAACAUCCACUGCAAUGGGUUCCCCAGGGCAGUGGGCAUGGCACCGAGCCUGCCAGAGUUCAAAAAACAUUUGGACAACACUCUCAGACACACGGUCUGAUUUUGGGGUGGUCCUGUGUGGAGCCAGGAGAUGGACUCUAUGAUCCUUGUGUGUCACUUCCAACUCAGGAUAUUCUACAAUUUCAUGAUUAUCCCCCUCAGGACU